GACGAACGCUGGCGGCGUGCUUAACACAUGCAAGUCGAGCGGUAAGGCCUCUUCGGGGGUACACGAGCGGCGAACGGGUGAGUAACACGUGGGUGACCUGCCCUCAGCUCUGGGAUAAGCCUGGGAAACUGGGUCUAAUACCGGAUAUGACCUUUCCUCGCAUGGGGUUUGGUGGAAAGUUUUUUCGGCUGGGGAUGGGCCCGCAGCCUAUCAGCUUGUUGGUGGGGUGAUGGCCUACCAAGGCGACGACGGGUAGCCGGCCUGAGAGGGCGACCGGCCACACUGGGACUGAGACACGGCCCAGACCCCUACGGGAGGCAGCAGUGGGGAAUAUUGCGCAAUGGGCGGAAGCCUGACGCAGCGACGCCGCGUGGGGGAUGACGGCCUUCGGGUUGUAAACCUCUUUCGACCCCGACGAAUUUGGACGGUAGGGGUAGAAGAAGCACCGGCCAACUACGUG
rnacentral:rRNA from 1 species